rnacentral:rRNA from 1 species
UACGUAGGGGGCAAGCGUUGUCCGGAAUCAUUGGGCGUAAAGAGCGCUGUAGGCGGCUCGGUAAGUCCGCUGUGAAAGUCCAGGGCUCAACCCUGGAAUGCCGGUGGAACUGUCGAGCUAGAGUCCGGAAGAGGCGAGUGGAAUUCCUGGUGUAGCGGUGAAAUGCGCAGAUAUCAGGAGGAACACCAAUAGCGAAGGCAGCUCGCUGGGACGGUACUGACGCUGAGACGC